CCUGCCAACUGUUUAAUCCGCCGGAAGGAGGGCGCAGCAUUGCCGGUCUUCUCAUUGCCUGGCUGCUAGAGGAAACCCGAAGUCGGGAUUCUUUCUUUCCUGCUCUGAGAGGGACCAGGUCCCUCCUCCGUAGCUUUUGUCUCUCUAUUGCCUGCGCCGUGUCCUGGACUGCUCACGGGAGUUCUGCAGGAGACGCCGGAAUAUCUGGAAGCUGAAAAAUGGAAAUAAAUGGAAAGACCAGAAUAUUGAAGAUCACUACAGAAAUCUAAGGGUCAGGCAUGGUGGCUCACACCUGUAAUCCCAGCACUUUGGGAAGCAGAGGCAGUUGGAUCACUUGAACCUGGGAGGCGUUCUGGAGGUCAGGAGUUCGAGACCAGCUUGGCCAACAUGGUGAAACCCUGUGUCUGCUAAAAAUACAAAAAUUAGCCGGGCCUCAUGGCACAUGCCUGUAAUCCCAGCUACUCUGGAGGCUGAAGCAGGAGAAUCGCUUGAACCUGGGAGGCGGAGGUUGCAGUGAGCCGAGAUCACGCCACUGCUUCUUGCUUUAAAAGAAGAGUAAAGACAAGAGUGUUGGACCAGUAUUGCAGUUCUGUAGUAUCAUUUCUUAUAAAAAACAAAACAACAAUAAUUUAUCAAAAUUGGCAUAUAAAGACUGACAACAUUCUAAUAAAGGCACAAAUUUCUUUUUAA
rnacentral:lncRNA from 1 species